rnacentral:lncRNA from 1 species
CACAAGUAAAAAUAGUAAUGAAGAAAUUCUGUGAGAACAGCACCACCUGAAUGGAACUUCCUAAGGCUAUCAUCCCGAUAGCUCCAGGCUCUCCUGCUGCUUGGAAAAGAGUGUUGCAGAGCAGAGGCGCCGCAGGGAAAAGGGGUCUCCUCGAUCUUGUUCUCUGAGCUGAGCACCCCAUGGGAAGGACCUCACACACUUCUGUCUGCCCUGGACCUGUAUGGUCAACCAGGAAGUUCAGGUUCCUGUCAAACUCCAAAGCAAGUGGUGACAUCCCUCCUGUUUAGCAAGAGUGGCAGAGUACAGCAGGGCUGCUUUUUCUUCGAGGAGGAAGAAAGAUAUUUUCUACAAGUGCAGAAGAAUUAUCUUCAAAUAAAAUUCAGACCGACAUACAUCGA